rnacentral:rRNA from 1 species
AGCCGAGGCUUAUUCAUCUGGUACCGUCAUUUUGUUCUUCCCAGAUAAAAGGGGUUUACAACCCUAAGGCCAUUCCUCCCCCACGCGGUCUUGCUCCGUCAGGCUUGCGCCCAUUGCGGAAAAUUCC